UACGUAGGGUGCAAGCGUUGUCCGGAAUUAUUGGGCGUAAAGAGCUCGUAGGCGGUUUGUCGCGUCGACUGUGAAAACCCGAGGCUUAACCUCGGGCCUGCAGUCGAUACGGGCAGACUAGAGUUCGGUAGGGGAGACUGGAAUUCCUGGUGUAGCGGUGAAAUGCGCAGAUAUCAGGAGGAACACCGGUGGCGAAGGCGGGUCUCUGGCCCGGUACUGACGCUGAGGUGCGAAAGCGUGGGGAGCAAACAGG
rnacentral:rRNA from 1 species